UUUACUACUUUUCUUUUCUUUCUUUCUUUUUUUUAUUUCCCCAGGCCAUGCAGGAUGCGUUGGCAGACCUCCCAGAGUGGUACGGAAUCAAAGGCAUGCAGGCCCACUGGAUUGGGGACUGUGUAGGCUGUCACCUGGACUUCACAUUAAAGGUGAUAAGACGCUGGCACAGCGUUCAUGCCUACAGAUCUCAUUUGUAUUUUGGAACUCUCUGAAUACACAGCAGCUCUGCACCAGACCACAGCACUGUUGAGCACAAAGAGAACCGGGAAGGCAUCUUUCUGAGCAUGCUUUCUCCAUCGUCAUCUUGGGGUGCCUGGUGCGGAUUGCAGGAGUGGAGACUGACCAAGGAAUGCUCCAUUCUGUUCUUGCAUACAUUCCUGGUCCUGUGGUCAGAAGCUGCCAAGGCUGUUUGGAAAUGAGGGAAUGGGUAGCAUGGGGAGCCCCAGAACUUAGGGGGAAGAGGACUGAGAAUAAAAUACCAUGUUUCAUCCUGCCAGGUUGAUGGAGAAGACACAGGAGAGAAAUUGACAGCAUACACAGCCACCCCUGAGGCCAUCUAUGGCAUCUCCCACGUGGCCAUCUCUCCUAGCCACGGGCUUCUACAUGGCUGCAGCUCUGUGAAGAAAGCCUUGCAGAAGGCACUAGUCCCUGGCAGAGGUGAGCUGUAUUAUGUAGUCCAGGCUAUGAGGUUACCUCCUUCAGCUGGACCCAUAUACUUUCUGCAUUUGCUACUUUUUAUCAUCUGUUAGCUGUAAUUUUUAGUUGUUUUUUAAAUCUCAAAACCUGAGGUAAGACAGCUCUGGGAACAUUAGAUUGGCUGUCCUGGGUUUCCCUGAGCCCUUCCAGAGAAUGCCCAGAAGGCUAGUUCUUUAGUUUUGGUUUAGUAUCAGUUUAAAGCUCUCUUCUGAGAGGGAAAGAAUCCUUUCCUGAAUUGUUAAUUCCUCUAGGAAACAAAACUACUAAAAAGGAACGGUGAGGUGGCACAGUGGAUAAAGUGCUUAUCUUUGUCAGCCCUGAUGACCCACAUGGUGGAAGGAGGGAGCAGACCCCAAGAACCCCACAGUCCUGUGACUUACACUCACACAUAUUGUGACACACACACCCCUAAAAAUAAAUAAAUGUACUAAAAUUUCAAAACAUGAGGAUAUAAAAAGAACUCUGACAAUGAGUGACUGCUGUCACUGAGACUGCUGGCCUUUUCCGUUCCAAAGGGAGGACCACACACCUCUGAUAAAAUAUAAAGUUGCAGCCAUCCAGGGAGGCUUUUGAGGUAUAGAGCCUGGAGGUUGAAAGGAAGGCCUUAUUGACUAGAAGUAGGUCUCUGGUGAAGGCUUAAAAUUCUCUGCAAAAAUCUCAUCCUUACGCUUCUUCUUACACUGUGAACUUUAACCUGCAUCUCACAUCUGAGUUAUUGAGGUCGCAAACGGCUUUGGAUGAUGUAGACUGGAGAGGCAGUGUCAGGACAAUUUACUUCUGCUCUAGACAGUGAUUGUUUCCUGAGUGCACUGAGGGCAACUUCGUCACCUGCUCUUCCUAAGAUCCUGCUAGGGGCCCAGCCUCCUGGGUUAGACACAAGCUUUUACAGUCCUGACUAUAAGUGACUCUGGGCUUAGGGCAGAAGACUUCCCGAUACAAGGCAGGUCUUGUCAUUUGCUGUCAACUUUUUUUUCUUUUGUUAUAUAUUGAAAUAGAGAAAAGAUGCAAGUUAAAAUUCCAUGUGUCCCUUGAAGGCCUCUGUGCCCAUGUCUCAUGAAUGCUUGAUCAUCAGGGAAUAACACUACUUGUUUUUUCCAGACAGGGUUUCUCUGUGGUCCUUGAACUCACUCUGUAAACCAGGCUGGCCUAGAACUCUGAUCCUCCUGAGUGUGGGAUUAAGUGACACAAUUUGAAAGGAUCAGGAGGAAUGGCUUUGUUGGAAGAAGUGUGUUAACUCGAGGUGGGCUUUGAGGUUUCAAACGCCCAUGCUAGACUCAGUAUCUUUUCUCUCUGCCUGCAGAUAAGGAUGUAGCUCUCAGCUACUUUUCCGUCACUACUCCUGCCUGCCACCGUGCUCCCUACUGCCAUGCUUCCUGCCAUGAUGAUAGUGAGCUAAACCUCUGAAAUUGUAAGCAAGUCCCAAUAAGAAGGUUUAUUUUUUAAGAGUUGUCAUGGUCAUGGUGUCUCUUCACAGCAAUAGAAUACUGACUUAGUUAGGAAGCAGAAAGAGGUGAAAGGUGCUGUUCAGCCCACCAAGCUCAUGCAGUGAUGCCACAUAUAUUCAGGGUGAGUCUUACCUGCUCUGUUAAGUCCUUCUGGAAACACCUUAUAGACAUAUCCAGAGAUUCUAAAAUCCAGAUAAAUUGACAAAGUUAAUGAUCUCAGGUGUUUGUUUGUUUGUUUGUUUGUUUUUACUCUGCUGAAGGAGGAGGAGGUGGAAGAAG
rnacentral:lncRNA from 1 species